GCUCCCCUACCCUCUGGCGAGUGCAUGCAGCGAAGAAUUAGACAGCAACUUACCUACUCUGAAGUUUUCUACAACAACAAAAGAUAUUGUCCUAGAAGGGGUUCUGGACCCAGCUCGGACCACCUACUGGGCUUUCCUGAAGCCUGGGUUCCCAGGCCUGGUGGUCAAAAGGACACCCCGCUGCCAGAGGGGAUAUGACCUCAGCAGCUGAUCCAGCCUGUUCAGCUCAGCCCUUCACUCAUCCAACAGCAUUUGAGAGCCACUGUGUGCAGGACUGAACUGUGGAAAUGUGCUAAAUCAAGAGAAAAGGAAGUUGGUAGAAUGAAAUACAUGUUGUAAUAGAGUCAGAAGCCAUGUGUGGGAGUGGAGAGGAGGAAGCAGUUCUGACAGGGCAGUUGGGAAAAGUUCAGUGGAGGAGGCGGUGGCAUCUGGGCUGACACGUGAUGGUUCUGGAUGGGUAGAGGUGGCUGAGAAGGGUGUUCCAAAGUGAAGAAAUAGUAUUAAAGCCAUGGAGGUGAAAAAGGCCAAGGUGAGUUGUUCAAGCAAUGGAUGUGAGCCUCGAGGGACUAAUAGGCCGCCUAGAACAAUAUGUGAAUCAGCAACCAAGUUAAAAACAGUAGGGGCUGGGGCAGGGUAGUGGCCUCUAGAAUACCUUGCCUGCCAGAGUUUCACCCUGUGCUGCAAGAGAAGCCAUCAAAGGUCUUGAGAGGUGGCACCCAGCCUUGUCAUUUCAAAGGGAACCAGUAGUCUCUUUUUCAAAACAUCCAGUCCAAGUCUGUCAGGUGAUUGAGAAAUGCUGCCUGAGGUGUUUGGUCUUUUGCCUUUUGGUCCUAUAAUAGGAGGAGUUUAAAAUUUUUUGUUGAUAUAUAAGAGCUGGGAGUAUAAGAAGUUCAGACUUCAAUUCUUAUUUUUUAAAAAAUCUUUGUUACCUUUGGCAUUAGAAUCUUUCAAUCCUAGAGCAAGAGUACUGGACAAAAUCUAGUCCCUCUGCCUUUAUGAAUUUGAGUUUAAGCUGGCCAAAUUUUCCUUUAGAAGAUUACAUUUGAACAGGUAUUGAGACACUGUUAAAAUCUAGAGCAGGAGCACCUGGCUGGCUUGAUUGGUAGAGGAUGUGACUUGAUCUUGGGGUUGUGAGUUCAAGCCCCACGUUGGGCUUAGAGAUUACUUUAAAAAAAACAAUACCUUAGAUGGUUGUGAGGAUUAAAUGAAAUAAUUGUAAAAUGUCUCACCGAGCACCUAAACUCAAAUCAGUGCUCCACACAUGGUCUCAGUUACUAAUAUCAUUAAUAAUAGACCAAGAAUUCCUUGAGAGGGACCUCUUUCAUCUGGCUCUCUUCAGAAUGUAUCCUGUCUUGGGGCACCUGGGUGGUUCAGUCAGUUAAGCAUCCAACUCUUCACCCUCAACUCAGGUCUUGAUCUCAGGGUCAUGAGUUCAAGCCCCACGUUGGGCUCACACUGGGUGUGAAGCCUACUUAAAUUUUUGUAUUAAUAUUUACAUGCUGUCUCUCAUUCUCACCUAAUGGGCCAAGUAGCCAGAAUGUGGGCUGUCCCUGGCUAGCCCUGGUUCUCAAGUUGUUUUGGGAAACGGAAAAGUCUGUAUGUAUCAAGAAAACCCAAACAAAAAGAAAAGAACACAGCCAUAGAGAACAAAAACUCGCAAAUGGAUGCAUAUACAAUUGGCUAAUGCUUUUACUGGUGUUUUCUUAAUCAGGACAGUGGCAGGGACAUGGUGUUAAUGGUUAUGUCUUCAAUGUAAAGAAUGAUGCCUGACACUUAACAGGUGCUCAUUAAAAGGUGGAAUUUUUUAAAGCUUAUUUAUUAUUUUGACAGAGAGUACACAAGCAGGGCAAAGAGAGGGAGAGAAAAUCCCAAGGAGUCUCUACAGUGUCAACACAGGGCUCAAACCCACAAACCAUGAGAUCAUGACCUGAGCUGAAAUCAAGAAUCAGAUACUUAACCAACUAAGCUACCCAGCACCCCUAAUAGGCAGAAUUUAAAAAUCACUAUUGAAUCCCUAUUCCUUGCCAGGCAAUUUUUAGACCUGCUCUGAAGAGGAGCUGGUAUAAUUUCCAUGUUGCCAACAAAAAAACGGGAGCUUGGAUUUUUCCUCAAGAAUAGGUCAUUGCAUCAAUGGCAAAGUCAGGAUUUGAGCUCAGAUGAUUUUGCCUCUCUAAAGCGUAUGCUAUUUUGGGGCGCCUGGUAGGCUCAGUCGGUUUAAGU
ensembl:lncRNA